rnacentral:rRNA from 2 species
CAAGCCUGAUGGAGCAACACCGCGUGAGUGAAGAAGGGUUUCGGCUCGUAAAGCUCUGUUGUUGGAGAAGAACGUGCGUGAGAGUAACUGUUCACGCAGUGACGGUAUCCAACCAGAAAGUCACGGCUAUCUACGUGCCAGCAGCCGCGGUAAUACGUAGGUGGCAAGCGUUAUCUGGAUUUAUUGGGCGUAAAGCGAGCGCAGGCGGUUGCUUAGGUCUGAUGUGAAAGCCUUCGGCUUAACCGAAGAAGGGCAUCGGAAACCGGGCGACUUGAGUGCAGAAGAGGACAGUGGAACUCCAUGUGUAGCGGUGGAAUGCGUAGAUAUAUGGAAGAACACCAGUGGCGAAGGCGGCUGUCUGGUCUGCAACUGACGCUGAGGCUCGAAAGCAUGGGUAGCGAACAGGAUUAGAUACCCUGGUAGUCCAUGCCGUAAACGAUGAGUGCUAGGUGUUGGAGGGUUUCCGCCCUUCAGUGCCGGAGCUAACGCAUUAAGCACUCCGCCUGGGGAGUACGACCGCAAGGUUGAAACUCAAAGGAAUUGACGGGGGCCCGCACAAGCGGUGGAGCAUGUGGUUUAAUUCGAAGCUACGCGAAGAACCUUACCAGGGUCUUGACAUCUUGC